UCCGCUCUCUGGGGCCAUCCACUCCAUGC
rnacentral:piRNA from 1 species